CUUUGAAAUAGGGUCGUGCGAAGAGGCCCAGAGUGAAACACAAAGUGGCCACCAUCAGCAUGAGGACCCCAACAGGUCAAACUGGUGAGAUGAGCAAAACGGAAGGCAGCUUUCAAGGUUCAUUUCAAGCAGUUGGCUUGUGGGAAUCUGAGAGACGCUGCUGUCCAUGACAUGUUGGAGUUAUCAUGAUCAACUACUCAGUCUGGAUUUCACCCAGUGGCCAACAGAUCUGCAUGGUAGACAGUAAGGGUUGGAUUUUUAAGAAGAGUA